rnacentral:rRNA from 1 species
UGAAUUUGGUGCUUGCACCAAAUGAAACUAGAUACAAGCGAGCGGCGGACGGGUGAGUAACACGUGGGUAACCUGCCCAAGAGACUGGGAUAACACCUGGAAACAGAUGCUAAUACCGGAUAACAACACUAGACGCAUGUCUAGAGUUUAAAAGAUGGUUCUGCUAUCACUCUUGGAUGGACCUGCGGUGCAUUAGCUAGUUGGUAAGGUAACGGCUUACCAAGGCAAUGAUGCAUAGCCGAGUUGAGAGACUGAUCGGCCACAUUGGGACUGAGACACGGCCCAAACUCCUACGGGAGGCAGCAGUAGGGAAUCUUCCACAAUGGACGCAAGUCUGAUGGAGCAACGCCGCGUGAGUGAAGAAGGGUUUCGGCUCGUAAAGCUCUGUUGGUAGUGAAGAAAGAUAGAGGUAGUAACUGGCCUUUAUUUGACGGUAAUUACUUAGAAAGUCACGGCUAACUACGUGCCAGCAGCCGCGGUAAUACGUAGGUGGCAAGCGUUGUCCGGAUUUAUUGGGCGUAAAGCGAGUGCAGGCGGUUCAAUAAGUCUGAUGUGAAAGCCUUCGGCUCAACCGGAGAAUUGCAUCAGAAACUGUUGAACUUGAGUGCAGAAGAGGAGAGUGGAACUCCAUGUGUAGCGGUGGAAUGCGUAGAUAUAUGGAAGAACACCAGUGGCGAAGGCGGCUCUCUGGUCUGCAACUGACGCUGAGGCUCGAAAGCAUGGGUAGCGAACAGGAUUAGAUACCCUGGUAGUCCAUGCCGUAAACGAUGAGUGCUAAGUGUUGGGAGGUUUCCGCCUCUCAGUGCUGCAGCUAACGCAUUAAGCACUCCGCCUGGGGAGUACGACCGCAAGGUUGAAACUCAAAGGAAUUGACGGGGGCCCGCACAAGCGGUGGAGCAUGUGGUUUAAUUCGAAGCAACGCGAAGAACCUUACCAGGUCUUGACAUCCAGUGCAAACCUAAGAGAUUAGGAGUUCCCUUCGGGGACGCUGAGACAGGUGGUGCAUGGCUGUCGUCAGCUCGUGUCGUGAGAUGUUGGGUUAAGUCCCGCAACGAGCGCAACCCUUGUCAUUAGUUGCCAUCAUUAAGUUGGGCACUCUAAUGAGACUGCCGGUGACAAACCGGAGGAAGGUGGGGAUGACGUCAAGUCAUCAUGCCCCUUAUGACCUGGGCUACACACGUGCUACAAUGGACGGUACAACGAGAAGCGAACCUGCGAAGGCAAGCGGAUCUCUGAAAGCCGUUCUCAGUUCGGACUGUAGGCUGCAACUCGCCUACACGAAGCUGGAAUCGCUAGUAAUCGC